UGGACCUGGGAUGAGAAUGUAUCACCAACAAAGGAUUAUAAUUAAUCCAACUCUGUGCACCUGUGGCCCAAU
rnacentral:snoRNA from 1 species